rnacentral:lncRNA from 1 species
AAUCCAGCCGAUAGGAGUGUUAUCGUCACUUGAACUCUUCAUGCAUAGACCCAUAUACUUGGGUAAUACUUCUUCAAAUAUUUUCCAUUUAAUGCUCUGGGAAAUUCAACUCCUUCGAGGGUUUCUAAAAUAUAGGCAUUGCCAGGAGCAGAUCGAUUUAUCCGAUAAGGACCCUCCCAAUUGGGAGACCACUUCCCAAAUUUUGAACUUUUAG